UCCCUCCCCAGGCACCUCGUCGCUUUUGGUUUUUUUUGCUCCGCAAAUCAAAAGCAGAGAGCUGGGGAAGGGG
rnacentral:tRNA from 1 species